CCCCUUUCGUUCCGCCCUCGGAAUACCUAUUAUUAAGGCGUCGGGAAACCGGCUAUGGGGAUAAACCUUUCGCGGAAUAAGCAUUACGGACCCGGGGGCGGUACCCGGCGCCUCCACCAGUUUACAAGAUGCGCCCGUUUACGGAUAUGUGGGCUGGCGCAUCCCUCUGGGGGCGAAACAGGAUCGACGUGUGUAGUAAAGGCGUAAGUUUCUCCCGGCAUGGUACCACCGUUAUCGGGCCAAGCUAGUAGUUGCGAACGACAACUCCAAGCAGGUCGCCCUCGCCGCUUAAUUGCGGUCUGGGUAACCACCCUUAAGCCCUUAUCUUGCUAAGGUAAGGCGCGGUUCGGAGGGCACCGGGCAACAGAAGCCCUCCACU
rnacentral:tmRNA from 1 species